UGGUAGAACAGCAUUUGUCUAGUGCGCUC
rnacentral:piRNA from 1 species